GUCUCUGCCCUCCUGAUGCCAAUGAGAUGAUGCUAAUGAGAUCCAUGACACCAGAGAGCAAGACAUCAGUGCUUCUCUACCUUCCAGUGACAGCUGCACCUGAAGCCACGCCCAAAGGGGGUGUGACCACUAGCACAACUGCCUUGGCAGUACUGGGAUUAAAGCUGCCUGCCAUGCCCUCCUGGCAAGAUGUGUGAUUCUAAUGAGGGUGAACAUCCUCAUUGGCUUCCUGUGCUUGUGGAUGGAAGGAGUCUCCCUUUAGCACUGGAUAGAUGAAUAUUCCUGACUCCUGUACCACUCCUAACACAAGACCAAAGCAUCCUAUAAGUCGGGUGUUGACAGUGCUUUUAGUACCAGGAGUAUGCCGCCAGUCGGAGCACAUGAAUAUUCAAGCAGGCCUGAAUUCCCCUUUGGUGGAGGCCUCAGUGCAGCACUCUCUGAAGGCUACGUCAAAUCAUGCCAAGUUGCCAAAGAGCUUAUAAAAUAAUCGUGGACAUGAACAGCAAGAAAACAGAACAGCCACUAAUGCCAUAAAGGGAAUACUACACCGAAGACCAAGCUUGAAAUAAAGUCCAUGUGAUCCAUGUAACAUUAGACACCUCUGAAAUCUAGAAGACAAACUACAGGCAUGUUUGUUCUUUUUCUUUCUGGACAAGGGACUUUAGUUUGCUCCUCUACAGUGCAGGGGAGUUCACUGUGGCCACGUUUCCUGAUUUGAAACUUGUUCACUGUUGAGAAGAAAGACGAGGCCAUCUCUGCUUAAACCUCAGGGUCCCGAGUGACAGCAAAUUCCAGUUGAGCCAGGCAUCCUUCUGCAAGAGCUCCAGCAGCUCACUGGUCCUGGGAAGCGACCCCAGGCUGCCCUGCCUUUGGUGAGGACAGCAUUGCCCUGCGGCUGGGCACACCACAUUCAAAAGCAAACAUUAGGCAGCUUCACCUUCUUCCAGUUUGGCAAGAAGAGUCGAAUCCACAAAGGAGUCUUACUUUAGUUGUAUUUAGAAAUGUAAGUCCCUGCAGACUUAAGAGUUGGUGCCUGGGAGGGCCCUGCAUUGUGAGCCCUCUGCAGCAGGCCGGCCCGGCUAACACAAGCAGGCUUUGUUUUAAUUAGCAGCAGAAGCAGCCCUCCCCUCCUCCUGCAGGGCUUCCAGUUUACAAUUGUCUGGGAACUCCCUCAGCCCAAAAUGGUUACUAAAAAAAUUUCCACAGAAACCCAACGAAAAGGGCCAGACCGACGCUGGGCUUUUAAAAGAACUUUUCCAAAUUGAGUCUUGAAGCAAAGUUGUCAGCAGGAGUGGAAUGCUUAUUGGAAUGGAUGUCCACUCCGGGGAGGGCCCCAAGGUUAACUAGAUGGUUCACUUCAAAAUAAUAGUCUGCUUCUCCCUUGCUCUUGCCCCAAAGGGAAGAAGACAACACAACCUGCUUUAACACUGUUAAGGAUCUAGUUUAAAGUGACAAAUGCCAGGAAAUGUAAAAAUAAGGAUGACCAGGAUUCUAUCACUACAUUAGUUUUUUAAGAGUGGUUUGAAUCUGGAUGCAGGGCAGUGAGUUACAGGAAGAGUCAACUGCACACCUCUC